AUACACAUCACCUGGGGAUCUUGUUAAAAUUUAGAUCCUGAUUGGACAAAUCAAAGGUGGGACUCUUCUAACAAGCUCCCAGGUGAUGCUAUU
rnacentral:miRNA from 1 species